AGAGAUCUGGAGGAAUACCGGUGGCGAAGGCGGCCCCCUGGACGAAGACUGACGCUCAGGUGCGAAAGCGUGGGGAGCAAACAGGAUUAGAUACCCUGGUAGUCCACGCCGUAAACGAUGUCGACUUGGAGGUUGUGCCCUUGAGGCGUGGCUUCCGGAGCUAACGGGUUAAGUCGACCGCCUGGGGAGUACGGCCGCAAGGUUAAAACUCAAAUGAAUUGACGGGGGCCCGCACAAGCGGUGGAGCAUGUGGUUUAAUUCGAUGCAACGCGAAGAACCUUACCUGGUCUUGACAUCCACGGAAGUUUUCAGAGAUGAGAAUGUGCCUUCGGGAACCGUGAGACAGGUGCUGCAUGGCUGUCGUCAGCUCGUGUUGUGAAAUGUUGGGUUAAGUCCCGCAACGAGCGCAACCCUUAUCCUUUGUUGCCAGCGGUCCGGCCGGGAACUCAAAGGAGACUGCCAGUGAUAAACUGGAGGAAGGUGGGGAUGC
rnacentral:rRNA from 1 species